rnacentral:tmRNA from 1 species
GGGGCUGACUUGGAUUUCGACAGAUUUCUUGUCGCACAGAUAGCAUGCCAAGUGCUGCUUGUAAAACAGCAACAAAAAUAACUGUAAACAACACAGAUUACGCUCCAGCUUACGCUAAAGUUGCGUGAGUUAAUCUCCUUUUGGAGCUGGACUGAUUAGAAUUUCUAGCGUUUUAAUCACUCCAUAACCUUAAGCUAGACGCUUUUAAAAGGUGGUUCGCCUUUUAAACUAAGAAACAAGAACUCUUGAAACUACCUCAAGGUUUUAGAAAGUUGGACCAGAGCUAGUUUUAAGGCUAAAAAACCAACCAAUUUUCUAAGCAUUGUAGAAGUUUGUGUUUAGGGCAAGAUUUUUGGACUGGGGUUCGAUUCCCCACAGCUCCACCA